AUGAGGCGAAGGUUUGUUCCUUCACAAUAUCAAAGAGAUCUCCGAAACAGAUUGCAGCGUCUCAGCCAAGGUACGAGCACGGUGGACGAGUACUAUAAAGAGAUGGAAUUACAAAUCGUUCGUUCUCGUAUUCAUGAAGAUGAGGAGUCAAAGAUGGCAAGAUUUCUGCAUGGUCUCAACACUGAAAUUUCUGAUUUUGUGGAGAUGUUUCCCUAUAAUACUCUACAAGAUAUUCUAGAGCAAGCAAAGCGCACGGAGAGGAAGGUGCAGCGGAGUGGUCAUGGACGGAUAUCUCAUAGCCGCACCACCACACCAUGGCAAAGGUCGCAGCCAAGUGCCUCUCAUGGUGGUUCUCAGUUUCAGCAUACUUCACACCCUACCGCCACCCGGCAAACAGCGGCUUCAUCGGCAUCAUCACCGACUCCUAGGAAUGUUGACAAGCAUGCUCCUUCUGCUGCUAGAAGUACUUCUAACCCCACGGCUGUACCAUCAUCUCGAAGCCGAGAUAUUCAGUGUUGGAAGUGCAAAGGGCAUGGUCACAUUUCUUCUGAAUGUCGAAACAAGAGAGUUCUCUUUGUGAAUGAACAAGGUGAAUGGGAAUCUAAGAGUGAGCAUGAAGAUAAUGGAGCAUCAGAUGAUCAUGAGGAUGAAGAGGGCGAGAAGAGUGGUUGUGAUAUUCAGGCCGACAUGGGAGAUUGCUUUGUUUCCCAUCGGAGAGCGCAUAUCCUUGCUCCCUUUGACACCCGAAGAAAUAUUGAUGGAUGGUCUGAAAAGGAAGGAGAGAGUGAGUGA
rnacentral:rRNA from 1 species